rnacentral:tRNA from 1 species
GCCUGGGUAGCUCAGUUGGUUAAGCGUCUGACUUCGGUUCAGGUCAUGAUCUCACAGUUUGUGGGCUCGAGCCCCGUAUCAGGCU